rnacentral:rRNA from 1 species
UACGAAGGGGGCUAGCGUUGCUCGGAAUCACUGGGCGUAAAGGGUGCGUAGGCGGGUUUUAAGUCAGGGGUGAAAUCCUGGAGCUCAACUCCAGAACUGCCUUUGAUACUGAGGAUCUUGAGUUCGGGAGAGGUGAGUGGAACUGCGAGUGUAGAGGUGAAAUUCGUAGAUAUUCGCAAGAACACCAGUGGCGAAGGCGGCUCACUGGCCCGGUACUGACGCUGAGGUGCGAAAGCGUGGGGAGCAAACAGG